AAUCCAGAACCACUUGAGUUUCUUCAGCUGGGUGAAAUUGGAAGGCGGUCUUGAAGGUAAAAAAUCGUUGUAGGCCAUCGACAGCCUUUCAAGGUUAGACAAGUUACCAAUUUCUGGAGGGAAAGUACCGUUAAACUUGUUCUGAUCAAGCUUAAGUUCUUUUAGCUCCUGUAACCGCCCAAUAGAAGCUGGAAUGUUACCAGUGAAGUUA
rnacentral:misc_RNA from 1 species